AUUGAACGCUGGCGGUAUGCCUUACACAUGCAAGUCGAACGGUAGAGGGGCAACCCUUGAGAGUGGCGAACGGGUGAGUAAUACAUCGGAACGUGCCCAGUCGUGGGGAUAACGUAGCGAAAGCUACGCUAAUACCGCAUACGACCUGAGGGUGAAAGCGGGGGAUCGCAAGACCUCGCGCGAUUGGAGCGGCCGAUGGCAGAUUAGGUAGUUGGUGGGGUAAAGGCCUACCAAGCCUGCGAUCUGUAGCUGGUCUGAGAGGACGACCAGCCACACUGGGACUGAGACACGGCCAAGACUCCUACGGGAGGCAGCAGUGGGGAAUUUUGGACAAUGGGCGCAAGCCUGAUCCAGCCAUACCGCGUGCGGGAAGAAGGCCUUCGGGUUGUAAACCGCUUUUGUCAGGGAAGAAAUCUUCUGGGCUAAUACCUCGGGAGGAUGACGGUACCUGAAGAAUAAGCACCGGCUAACUACGUGCCAGCCGCCGCCGUAACAC
rnacentral:rRNA from 1 species